CAGAGUCCGUGGCCAAGGAGGGCCUUGCGGGCGGCGACGGAGCAGUGAUCGGUGUCUCGAAGAGCUCGGACUGGAGACUAGGCCAGGUCUCCAGCAGAGGUGGAUGUGCCUGCCAGUCACUGAAGGCGAGGAUGACAGGUGUGGUCAAUGUGACAGAAAGACAUGACAUGGUCCGGUGUGAUGGAGAGGACAGAAGGGCAGUCAUCCAGCCUUCUUGAACACCAUGGGCUGGCGCCUUGUCGUAGAAGCCGUCUGUUCUUUCACUUUUCCCAAAGAGCUAACACUUCUCUGCUGCUCUCUGGAUCCUCCUCCCCCUACCUUGAACCCUCAAGAUGAAAGGUGAGUUCUCUUCUGCCCCAUGUGGGUGGGAGAGGGUGGGAUGCCAAGGACAGGGGUCUCAUUCUCUCCCACCCAUAGAAAUGGUGCUACCCAGCUCAUGUCUGGGCCUUUGAAUCCGGGGACUUCUUUAAGUCCGUCUCGUUCUGAAUCAAGAAGAUGCUGCAAUCAGAACCACUACACUACCUGCCUCAGGAAUCUGCUCCAAGGUGAGCUGGGGCACCCUUUGGAAGCUUGCCAAGCCCACUCCCCACCCCACCCCCCGCCCCACCUCAUUUGUCUUUAUUCUCUUUGCAGGUGAAGCUGAAAGAACAGAUGGUGUCAACAUUUUGAAAGAGCAGACUCAUAGCACCCACCCACCCCUGAGAAUCCAUCUUCAUGGCCAACUCUGCCUGACCCGGGAGACCACCACCCACAUCAUCCUGGAGCCAAGCCUCUACCCCGGGAUGACUUCAUCAUCUCCCUCCUGUCUUUUUCUUCUUCCUCCUUUCCUGUAAUUCUGUUUCUUUCCUUUUGUUCCUUCCUUGCUUGAGAGACUCAAAGCACCCGUGACUCUGUUUCCCCAUUUACCCCCUUUUGAAUUUGCACUAAGUCGAUUGCACUGGUUUGGAGUCCCGGAGAUAGCUUUGAGUCUCUCCGUAUGAAUGUAUACAGCGAGUGUGUAAACCUCUUUGGCAAUGCUGCCCCAGUACCCACCUGUCGUCCAUCUCCGUCUGAGGGCAACUGGGUGUGGCCGUGUGCUUGAGGCCUCGCCUUCCCCUCGCCUAGUCUGGAAGCAGUUCCAUCAUAAAGUGUUCAACAUGCCCUACUUCAUCCUUUGCCCCUCCUCACCAGGGCCUCACCAGAGGUCCUGGGUCCAUCAAUAAAUACAGUUACAGUCA
rnacentral:lncRNA from 1 species